rnacentral:lncRNA from 1 species
CACCAGCCCAGCUGCGGGAGCUCUGCAGAAGUUUCACUUUUUGUUUUAGGGGCUUCCCUUGACUUUCCCUUUGGUUUCAGACCCUCAGAUUCCUCCCCCAGCCCGGGGACAGGAGUGAAAGGGCUGGGAAAGAAAUCCAGAGUUGUGACUCAGGAGGAGACUUUGGAAGGAGGACACCCUGAAUAUCUUCAAAGUGCCUUUCUGCAUUCAUCCAGGAGUGUUCAGCGCCCGAACUGGUGGAGAAGAUAAGGAAAGUCCCGGGCCGUCUACAGCUACACAUAUGGAGCCAGCCAAAAAAAUAAAAUGGUAAGAAAAUACGACA